rnacentral:rRNA from 1 species
UACGUAGGGUGCGAGCGUUAAUCGGAAUUACUGGGCGUAAAGCGUACGCAGGCGGUUUGUUAAGUCUGAUGUGAAAGCCCCGGGCUCAACCUGGGAACUGCAUUGGAAACUGGCAAGCUCGAGUAUGGCAGAGGGGGGUGGAAUUCCGCGUGUAGCAGUGAAAUGCGUAGAGAUGCGGAGGAACACCGAUGGCGAAGGCAGCCCCCUGGGCCAAUACUGACGCUCAGGCACGAAAGCGUGGGGAGCAAACAGG